AUGCUUUAAUUAUUGUCAGUUCAUGAACAUUUAGUGGAAAGUGUUACCAUUAAACUCAUGUCUUAAACCAGCACCUUGGAUUUCCAUUCCAAAUAUAUUAAAGGUACAUACGUACUUAUGCAAUCACUUUAUUUCAUGCUUUGAUCCCUGUUCUAAAUGUUAAAGUGAAAGUAAAAGUACAAAAGAGCGCUCGAUAGAAAGAAAAUAAAUCCAGACGUGAAUUUUCUGUGGUCAUUUAAGCUUUAUUUUGGACAAUUUGGAAUAACCUUUUCGAUCAGUGUUAUGAAGAUUGGUGAUAUGUCCAUGAGGUGCAUGUGUGUUGCUUACCUGGGGAAGAGAUGGCACCAGGAUGCACUAUGGAAAGAAGGCAAGCCAGAGGAGACAGUGUGAUGAAAACCUUGGGUCCUGGCAUUCCUGUGGAUGUAACUUUGACACAUUUGAUUUGAAUAUGUUUUAAGUCAUAUUUAUGCAGAGAUGUAGAAAAGUCUGAAAAAGGUUCACAAACUUUCAAGCACCAGUGUUUGAUGACAGCACGCCCAACACCCUUUCACCCCUUUCUCUCUGCUCCCUCACAACACAUCUAAUGCUGUGUUUGUGGCAAAGUUACAAUAUGUAAUUCCCCACCCAUAACCGGCAAAACUACCAAAAACUCCCCCUCAACUUGUCAGUUUAGGGUAAUCUCAUUGACCAUUUCCUUCCGUGUUUAUAGAGUGACGACAAAUGUAUAUGGCUGCACACACUGUGAACAGUGUAAAGUACACUUUAUUAACUUUUAAAUUAGUUUAUAGCAGUAUUGGCUUUAGAUAAAUUAAUAUACAGACACAGUAUUUGGUUAAAUUUAUAACAUUGACCAUAUUACUGGCAGUUUAGAGGAGGUAAUGAUCAACAUUAGUUGUAAUAUUAGUUAGUUGUUGCUAACGCUACUCCUGUCUGCUGCCUAGCUUGUUGCUAAGGUAUUUGCUAUUGUCUGCUGUUAUUGCUGUACUGCAGUUUCAAUCCAAAAUGUCGCAUGAAUAUUUGAAGUUCACUAUAGUAGAACAGUAUCAGUAACCACUCAGGCCUCUACUUUAAAAGUGCAGUUAAAGUAGAUUUUUAGCCUUUUUUUUUUUAAGUUCCAGAAGCAAAUGUGUCUUUCACAUCACGUUUUUUUUUUUCAUUUUCAUUGAAUUGGCUUUUGUGCCAGGCAAAUUUUAUGACCAUUUGAUCUGAUCACUCGUUUAGUUGAAAAAGCAGAACAGUGUAGUUUUCUGGUGUCUAGCAUAUAAUAUUAAGGGAUUAAAUUCAUAAUGAUGUCAUGACUAAACCAUAGAUUGUGGCACCUCUGGUAAUGUGAGCAGUGAAAAACAUGAUUGGUUCUGCCCUUCAGUCUAUUCCCAGAUUACAAUUGCUGUGGAAUGUAGACAAUUUCAUCACUUUCACUGACUUUAUGUAUACUUACCUUUAGCUUUGGUGCUUGAAAAAAAGUGUCUGAUUUGCACAAAUGCACUAUCUAGCAUCUGUCCUGUGUAUGAUUAAUCAAAAGAGGUCAUUGUAUUUACAACAGAAUUAAAAAUGUAUGGAGAUUUAAAUGAGAACUUUUACUUGCCCUUACGGAUGAGCCUCCACACAUAAACCCCUUAUAAAUAAGUGAGCUACACACUGGUCUGAAUAACAUUAAAUCCACCUGCCUAAUAUUAUGUAGGUCCCUCUUGUGCACCAAAACAGCUCUGAGCCAUCGAGGCAUGGACUCCACAAGACCGCUGAAGGUGUGCUGUGGUAUCUGGCACCAAUAUAUUAGCAGCAGGUCCUUUAACGGACAGCAAAAAAAAAUUUGUCCUUAUUUACUGCAUUUAAAUUGACAGUCCAACUUUAUUUAUUUAUUUUUUUAUUUUUUUAUCUAGGCAUGAAUUUAUGAGUGUUUAGUCUAGAGCCUGAUGUAAGUUGUGACUCUAAGUCUCGAAUCACAUUUGAGUCACAUAUUAAUGACAAAUCAAUAAAAAUUAAAACAAAAGACCCAGUAACUACAAAUAUAUUUUGGGGGAGUCUUCCCCACUUUCUCCUCAAAUUGGUUACCUUCCAGUUCCUAACCACAAGCCAGCCGUGAUAGGAUGAAUGCUUUUCUGUUCUGCCACAGGCGAGAGGAAACUGAAGAGCUUGGAGGAAAGUCUCAGGGACAUGGGAUCUCCACACGGACAGUAACUGAACUCAGGAUUGAACCUGGGACACCGGAACUGUGAGGUGGAAACCCUACUUGUUGUGUUAAUAAUUGUGGAUUGUACUUUUUUUAGCGUAUUUGUUGAAUAAAUCCAAUAUGGCCCCAAGGAUUAAUUCAAUUUCAUAGACAGUAGAAUAUUCUAACUGUGGUUACAGUGGAACAUGUUUAGAAGUGUGCACCCUUACACGAUGUUUCACUAUAAGGAAUGCCUUUCAAGUUAAAUUAAGACAUAUACUGAUGUUAUCACAUUGUGAAGAAUACACCAGAUCAUACUUUGUACUAUUAAUGAAACUGAAUUAUUGUCUUGAAUAUACAAUAAUAAAAUUCAUAUCUUUAAAUAUUGAAAUGAUACUGUGAAAUCAUGGAAGUCCUGCAACUUACAAUUUUCACUUUUUUUUUUAUUAUAAACUCAUUUAUACACUAUAUACAUGUGAAGAAUUUUCAUACAAGCGCACAAGAACUUAAAAAUUCUUUAGAGAUAUCCUAUAAAGUUUUCAGAGGAAAAUGCCUUAAAACCCUAAUGUGUAGGUAACGGAACCUGCCAAAUGUCACAGUAAAUUACAUGAACAUGUUUAUAUACAAGCCAUUAUCCUUUACAAUUGAGAACAACGUGUUAGAAAACUGUUCCGUUGAUGACCAUAAAAUCUCUAACAUAAUCCUCCAGCAUAAAACUUCACACUUUAUGGCAAACCAAGCUGAAGUAGUUCAUACAAGACAUUUUGUGGACUGAUUUCAUGGUCAGAGGGAAAGACGUAGAAUGUGAGGUAAUGAGAUAAUGUACAGGCUGAGUAUCAGAGAAGAUCUCAGAGUAGACAGCUGAUUUGUGGAAGGCCAGUUGUGUGAGGGCUGCUGUUCCACAUAUCUGUGUAGUUUAAGAGAUCUUCACUGGGCAGUCCUGG